UUGUUUGCAAAUGCAGCACUAUUAAGAUUCUCAAAUAUUCGACAUUAAAAUGCAAUUAAAUGUGAAUCUUGAUGAUGCUGCAUUAGCAAUAAC
rnacentral:pre_miRNA from 1 species